CAGCCGCCGCGGUAAUACGGAGGGAGCUAGCGUUGUUCGGAAUUACUGGGCGUAAAGCGCACGUAGGCGGCUACUCAAGUCGGGGGUGAAAGCCCGGGGCUCAACCCCGGAACUGCCCUCGAAACUAGGUAGCUAGAAUCUUGGAGAGGUCAGUGGAAUUCCGAGUGUAGAGGUGAAAUUCGUAGAUAUUCGGAAGAACGCCAGUGGCGAAGGCGACUGACUGGACAAGUAUUGACGCUGAGGUGCGAAAGCGUGGGGAGCAAACAGGAUUAGAUACCCCCGUAGUCCCUGUCUCUUAUAA
rnacentral:rRNA from 1 species